CAUCCUGGCCUGACGAAAGACAAGAAGAGGUGCUCCCGAGAUGGCGGACGAGACGACCGUGUGGGCCUCACAGCCACGGCAUCCUCCCCAGAGGUUUCUGCAGCUGUCACCGUCUCCUUAAUGACAGACAAGCCUGGCCUAGACAACCCUGACCAUGUGCCUGGCGGAGGACAGUCAGCCAGCAAUCAGCCCCGGGGACUCUGGCCAGAGCAACCCAAUGAAAGCAUGGUCCUUCAAGCAAUCCACAGUAAGGGUCAUCAGUGACAAUUAGAAGCAGGUCUUUUUAAAAAAUAAUUGAAUUUUGAGUGUUCUUCGAAGGACAAAGAGUGGGAGUGCGGUUAUCAACCGAGCUGACCAGGGCAAGGAAAAUUCUGAAAACAUCACGGCCCCUGAAGUCUUUCAAGGUUGUACCACCUGAUCCCAGAUGAAGAAAUUACCACCAUCAAGAUCAAUCAAGGGGAUCCCAAUAAAAGCCUCUCCAUUCCGCUGGUGGGAGGCGGGGAAACCCCACUGGACCGUAUCAUUAUCCAACACAUUUAUCAUGAUGGGGUGAUUGCCAGAGACGGCCAGCUACUGCCGGGAGACAUCAUCCUAAACGCCAGCGGGACGGACAUCAGCGACGUCCCUCACACCUCCGCCCUGCAUCUCCCGCAGCAGCCCUACCAGGUGCCGUGACUGACCAUGCCACGCACGCAGAAAUUCCACAGCAGGAACAAUGGACGGGCGCUGGAUGCCCAUGGACCCUGGGAUGACAGCUUCCAUGUGAGUCUCAACAAAACUAGCACCAAGGAACAGCCUGGAAUAAAGUUGGUGUGCAAGGCGGGUGAGCCUGAGAUGUUCUUCAGUGUGCUAGAUGGUGGUGUGGCUGAUCGACAUGGUCAGCUGGAAGAGAAUGAUUGUGCAUUAGCCACUAAAGGACAUGACCUUCAAUAUGGUGGCCCAGAAAGUGCUGCUCAUCUGAUUCAGGUAUUGCCGGCCCUCUUCACCACUGCAGGGACCCAUGCAAUGCCAAGAAGUUAG